rnacentral:rRNA from 1 species
GUGCCAGCAGCCGCGGUAAUACGUAGGGUGCAAGCGUUAAUCGGAAUUACUGGGCGUAAAGCGUGCGCAGGCGGUUUUGUAAGUCAGAUGUGAAAUCCCCGGGCUUAACCUGGGAACUGCGUUUGAAACUACAAGGCUAGAGUGUGGCAGAGGGGGGUGGAAUUCCACGUGUAGCAGUGAAAUGCGUAGAGAUGUGGAGGAACACCGAUGGCGAAGGCAGCCCCCUGGGUUAACACUGACGCUCAGGCACGAAAGCGUGGGGAGCAAACAGGAUUAGAUACCCGCGUAGUCC